GACAGAACGAUUGUUAAGAAAUCUGAGGGCAUUAAACUUACAGUAUAAUACUUGCACCACCACCAGCUAACAUUGUCCAAAUGCGUCCUUUUGGGUUCAACACGGUGAGUUUCAAAGACCUGCAUUCACUCGCAUAAGGCUACUAGAGCCUCAAUAUCUUCCAUAUCCUCAACAGCAUUUCUGUUCCCGCUCAAUGCCAUCAUUGCAUUGCCUUAUUUCAUCUCCAAGAACAGCCCCAAUUCCAGCCCUUGAA